UACGUAGGUGGCAAGCGUUAUCCGGAAUUACUGGGCGUAAAGCGUGCGUAGGUGGUCUGUUAAGUCUGAUGUGAAAGCCCUGGGCUCAACCUGGGAAUUGCAUUGGAUACUGGCAGGCUAGAGUGCGGUAGAGGAUGGCGGAAUUCCCGGUGUAGCAGUGAAAUGCGCAGAUAUCGGGAGGAACACCGGUGGCGAAGGCGGCGACCUGGGUAGAUACUGA
rnacentral:rRNA from 1 species